GACGAACGCUGGCGGCGUGCUUAACACAUGCAAGUCGAACGGAAAGGCCCUGCUAUUGUGGGGUGCUCGAGUGGCGAACGGGUGAGUAACACGUGAGUAACCUGCCCUUGACUUUGGGAUAACUUCAGGAAACUGGGGCUAAUACCGGAUAGGAGCUCCUGCUGCAUGGUGGGGGUUGGAAAGUUUCGGCGGUUGGGGAUGGACUCGCGGCUUAUCAGCUUGUUGGUGGGGUAGUGGCUUACCAAGGCUUUGACGGGUAGCCGGCCUGAGAGGGUGACCGGCCACAUUGGGACUGAGAGACGGCCCAGAAGCCUACGGGAGGCAGCAGUGGGGAAUAUUGCACAAUGGGCGGAAGCCUGAUGCAGCAACGCCGCGUGCGGGAUGACGGCCUUCGGGUGGUAAACAGCUUUCGCCGGUGACGAAGCGUGAGUGACGGUAAUGGGUAAAGAAGCACCGGCUAACUACGUG
rnacentral:rRNA from 1 species